UACGUAGGGGGCUAGCGUUGUCCGGAAUCAUUGAGCGUAAAGAGCGUGUAGGCGGCCCGGUAAGUCCGCUGUGAAAGUCGGGGGCUCAACCCUCGGAUGCCGGUGGAUACUGUCGGGCUCGAGUACGGAAGAGGCGAGUGGAAUUCCUGGUGUAGCGGUGAAAUGCGCAGAUAUCAGGAGGAACACCUAUUGCGAAGGCAGCUCGCUGGGACGUUACUGACGCUGAGACGCGAAAGCGUGGGGAGCAAACAGG
rnacentral:rRNA from 1 species